CACGCCGUAAACGGUGGGUACUAGGUGUGGGGUUCAUUCCACGAACUCCGUGCCGCAGCUAACGCAUUAAGUACCCCGCCUGGGGAGUACGGCCGCAAGGCUAAAACUCAAAGGAAUUGACGGGGCCCCGCACAAGCGGCGGAGCAUGCGGAUUAAUUCGAUGCAACGCGAAGAACCUUACCUGGGUUUGACAUAUACCGGAAACAUCUAGAGAUAGGUGCCCCUUUAUGGUCGGUAUACAGGUGG
rnacentral:rRNA from 1 species